UAAUUGAAGAGUUUGAUCAUGGCUCAGAUUGAACGCUGGCGGCAGGCCUAACACAUGCAAGUCGAGCGGUAACAGGGGAAGCUUGCUUCUCGCUGACGAGCGG
rnacentral:rRNA from 1 species